rnacentral:rRNA from 1 species
UACGAAGGUGGCAAGCGUUGUUCGGAUUUACUGGGCGUAAAGGGAGCGUAGGUGGUCGGGUAAGCCCCGCGGGAAAGCUCCAGGCUUAACCUGGAAAGGUCGCGGGGGACUGCGCGGCUAGAGGACGGGAGAGGAGCGCGGAAUUCCCGGUGUAGCGGUGAAAUGCGUAGAGAUCGGGAGGAAGGCCGGUGGCGAAGGCGGCGCUCUGGAACGGCCCUGACACUGAGGCUCGAAAGCGUGGGGAGCAAAC